GAAAGAUAUCAGAUCCAGGCAGCUCACCAUUAAAACAGCUUGUCUGAGAGUUCAUGGACGUCAUUGGUUAUUCUUCUUUUUAGGAGCGACCAGCUGCACAAAGUCUCCUCUGCAUUGCCAUAGGUGACAUGCCAGCUGUUGCUCAGGCCCUGAGGCAGAACCAGCCCAGCGUCAUCAUGGGAGAGACGCUUCUGUUGACUCCCCCUGGAUUUGUAUAUUAAAGAAAUGUGGCAACAGUU